rnacentral:rRNA from 1 species
CUAAACAUAGAUGGAACACAGUAUGUGGUCACUGAAUAUUUUGACGAGCACAACCACAAACUCAUAAAGAAGUUCGACCUGGUCAAAUUUCUGACCACCCACAGAGGAUUCACCCUAGUCGAAAGGCAAUUCGUAAACCUGCUACAUGAUUGUAACGUCGGUCCAUCAAGAAUGGUCCAGAUACUAUCACUCAUCCACAGCAAAAAGGGGAAACUGAGUAGCAUGCCCUACAUACUAGCUGACGUCACAAACCUACAGGACAAGUACCGUAGAGAGAGCAAGUUGGCUGACAUAGAGGCCACAAUGGCCUACUUCGAUGAGAAAGCGAAGGAAGAUCCAGAUUUCUUCUACAGGAUAAGGUUGGACAAUGAGGACCAUGUCAGGAACAUGUAUUGGGUGGAUGGUGCUGCAAGGAGAGCCUACAAACAUUUCCGAGAUUGCAUUUCAUUCGACGCGACGUAUCUGACUAAUAUGUACAAUAUGCCAUGCGCUCCGUUCAUAGGAAUAAAUAACCACAACACAUAUGGGUACGUUUGGCUGUUCAGGACCUUCUUGGAGUGCAUGGAUGGACUUGCUCCGAUGAACAUAAUAACAUACCAGGAUUUCAACAUGCGUGCAGGCAUAGAGGAGGUAUUUCUGUUGGCAGUGCACAGGCACUGCAGGUGGCACAUUAUAAAGAAGGCUGAAGAGACGCUAGGACCAUUCUUUGCUAUUAUGCAGCGCAGCGAGGGGUUCAAUGUUGUUUUGAAGCGGUACGACGGCAUUGUGUGCUGUCACAUACUAAAAGUAAUGAACAUGAACGCUAUGACAUGGAUGCCCCGCCAUUUCAUAAGGCGGCGAUGGACUUGGGACGCUGACGGCGCGUUUGCGCCGCAGACAACAAACGCAGUUCUGGCUGUGCAUGACAAGAGACCUGAGGCAACCACGGAAGCCGUGAGGCACGUUGUGCUGACAAAGAACUAUGCUGAGCUAAUUGAUGAAGCGUGCAAGAGUGAUGAGACAGCGAGAGUCGCAAAAAAACACAGGAAGGCCCUGAAAAGAGAGCUUGAUGAGAUCAAGAAGAGGAAAGCCGAGGAAGCCUUACACCGGUUCCCCCGCACAUCAAGUGUGCCUUCAUCCACGGGGCCAUCAUCUGAAAACUCAGAGAUAGGAUCUGGAAUAGCAAGCACACAAACCUAG